rnacentral:rRNA from 1 species
GACGAACGCUGGCGGCGUGCCUAAUACAUGCAAGUCGAACGAACUCUGGUAUUGAUUGGUGCUUGCAUCAUGAUUUACAUUUGAGUGAGUGGCGAACUGGUGAGUAACACGUGGGAAACCUGCCCAGAAGCGGGGGAUAACACCUGGAAACAGAUGCUAAUACCGCAUAACAACUUGGACCGCAUGGUCCGAGUUUGAAAGAUGGCUUCGGCUAUCACUUUUGGAUGGUCCCGCGGCGUAUUAGCUAGAUGGUGGGGUAACGGCUCACCAUGGCAAUGAUACGUAGCCGACCUGAGAGGGUAAUCGGCCACAUUGGGACUGAGACACGGCCCAAACUCCUACGGGAGGCAGCAGUAGGGAAUCUUCCACAAUGGACGAAAGUCUGAUGGAGCAACGCCGCGUGAGUGAAGAAGGGUUUCGGCUCGUAAAACUCUGUUGUUAAAGAAGAACAUAUCUGAGAGUAACUGUUCAGGUAUUGACGGUAUUUAACCAGAAAGCCACGGCUAACUACGUGCCAGCAGCCGCGGUAAUACGUAGGUGGCAAGCGUUGUCCGGAUUUAUUGGGCGUAAAGCGAGCGCAGGCGGUUUUUUAAGUCUGAUGUGAAAGCCUUCGGCUCAACCGAAGAAGUGCAUCGGAAACUGGGAAACUUGAGUGCAGAAGAGGACAGUGGAACUCCAUGUGUAGCGGUGAAAUGCGUAGAUAUAUGGAAGAACACCAGUGGCGAAGGCGGCUGUCUGGUCUGUAACUGACGCUGAGGCUCGAAAGUAUGGGUAGCAAACAGGAUUAGAUACCCUGGUAGUCCAUACCGUAAACGAUGAAUGCUAAGUGUUGGAGGGUUUCCGCCCUUCAGUGCUGCAGCUAACGCAUUAAGCAUUCCGCCUGGGGAGUACGGCCGCAAGGCUGAAACUCAAAGGAAUUGACGGGGGCCCGCACAAGCGGUGGAGCAUGUGGUUUAAUUCGAAGCUACGCGAAGAACCUUACCAGGUCUUGACAUACUAUGCAAAUCUAAGAGAUUAGACGUUCCCUUCGGGGACAUGGAUACAGGUGGUGCAUGGUUGUCGUCAGCUCGUGUCGUGAGAUGUUGGGUUAAGUCCCGCAACGAGCGCAACCCUUAUUAUCAGUUGCCAGCAUUAAGUUGGGCACUCUGGUGAGACUGCCGGUGACAAACCGGAGGAAGGUGGGGAUGACGUCAAAUCAUCAUGCCCCUUAUGACCUGGGCUACACACGUGCUACAAUGGAUGGUACAACGAGUUGCGAACUCGCGAGAGUAAGCUAAUCUCUUAAAGCCAUUCUCAGUUCGGAUUGUAGGCUGCAACUCGCCUACAUGAAGUCGGAAUCGCUAGUAAUCGCGGAUCAGCAUGCCGCGGUGAAUACGUUCCCGGGCCUUGUACACACCGCCCGUCACACCAUGAGAGUUUGUAACACCCAAAGUCGGUGGGGUAACCUUUUAGGAACUAGCCGCCUAAGGUGGGAUAGAUGAUUAGGGUG